rnacentral:rRNA from 1 species
GACGAACGCUGGCGGCGUGCUUAACACAUGCAAGUCGAACGGAAAGGCCCUGCUUUUGUGGGGUGCUCGAGUGGCGAACGGGUGAGUAACACGUGAGUAACCUGCCCUUGACUUUGGGAUAACUUCAGGAAACUGGGGCUAAUACCGGAUAGGAGCUCCUGCUGCAUGGUGGGGGUUGGAAAGUUUCGGCGGUUGGGGAUGGACUCGCGGCUUAUCAGCUUGUUGGUGGGGUAGUGGCUUACCAAGGCUUUGACGGGUAGCCGGCCUGAGAGGGUGACCGGCCACAUUGGGACUGAGAUACGGCCCAGACGGCUACGGGAGGCAGCAGUGGGGAAUAUUGCACAAUGGGCGGAAGCCUGAUGCAGCAACGCCGCGUGCGGGAUGACGGCCUUCGGGUUGUAAACCGCUGUCGCCUGUGACGAAGCGUGAGUGACGGUAAUGGGUAAAGAAGCACCGGCUAACUACGUG